rnacentral:rRNA from 1 species
AUUGAACGCUGGCGGCAUGCCUUACACAUGCAAGUCGAACGGUAACAGGCCGCAAGGUGCUGACGAGUGGCGCACGGGUGAGUAACACGUAAGUAAUCUAUCUUCGAGUGGGGAAUAACGUUCGGAAACGAACGCUAAUACCGCAUAAUGCAGCGGCAUCGCAAGAUGACAGUUGUUAAAGGAAUUUAUUUCGCUUGAAGAGGAGCUUGCGGCAGAUUAGCUAGUUGGUAAGGUAACGGCUUACCAAGGCUACGAUCUGUAUCCGGUCUAAGAGGACGGUCGGACACACUGACACUGAAUAACGGGUCAGACUCCUACGGGAGGCAGCAGUCGGGAAUUUUGGGCAAUGGGCGAAAGCCUGACCCAGCAACGCCGCGUGAAGGAUGAAGUAUUUCGGUAUGUAAACUUCGAAAGAAUGGGAAGAAUAAAUGACGGUACCAUUUAUAAGCUCCGGCUAACUACGUGCCAGCCGCCGCAGUAACAC